CUCAGAUUGAACGCUGGCGGCAGGCCUAACACAUGCAAGUCGAGCGGUAGCACAGAGAGCUUGCUCUCGGGUGACGAGCGGCGGACGGGUGAGUAAUGUCUGGGAAACUGCCUGAUGGAGGGGGAUAACUACUGGAAACGGUAGCUAAUACCGCAUAANGUCGCAAGACCAAAGUGGGGGACCUUCGGGCCUCAUGCCAUCAGAUGUGCCCAGAUGGGAUUAGCUAGUAGGUGGGGUAACGGCUCACCUAGGCGACGAUCCCUAGCUGGUCUGAGAGGAUGACCAGCCACACUGGAACUGAGACACGGUCCAGACUCCUACGGGAGGCAGCAGUGGGGAAUAUUGCACAAUGGGCGCAAGCCUGAUGCAGCCAUGCCGCGUGUGUGAAGAAGGCCUUCGGGUUGUAAAGCACUUUCAGCGGGGAGGAAGGCGNUAAGGUUAAUAACCUUGNCGAUUGACGUUACCCGCAGAAGAAGCACCGGCUAACUCCGUGCCAGCAGCCGCGGUAAUACGGAGGGUGCAAGCGUUAAUCGGAAUUACUGGGCGUAAAGCGCACGCAGGCGGUCUGUCAAGUCGGAUGUGAAAUCCCCGGGCUCAACCUGGGAACUGCAUUCGAAACUGGCAGGCUAGAGUCUUGUAGAGGGGGGUAGAAUUCCAGGUGUAGCGGUGAAAUGCGUAGAGAUCUGGAGGAAUACCGGUGGCGAAGGCGGCCCCCUGGACAAAGACUGACGCUCAGGUGCGAAAGCGUGGGGAGCAAACAGGAUUAGAUACCCUGGUAGUCCACGCCGUAAACGAUGUCGAUUUGGAGGUUGUGCCCUUGAGGCGUGGCUUCCGGAGCUAACGCGUUAAAUCGACCGCCUGGGGAGUACGGCCGCAAGGUUAAAACUCAAAUGAAUUGACGGGGGCCCGCACAAGCGGUGGAGCAUGUGGUUUAAUUCGAUGCAACGCGAAGAACCUUACCUGGUCUUGACAUCCACAGAACUUUCCAGAGAUGGAUUGGUGCCUUCGGGAACUGUGAGACAGGUGCUGCAUGGCUGUCGUCAGCUCGUGUUGUGAAAUGUUGGGUUAAGUCCCGCAACGAGCGCAACCCUUAUCCUUUGUUGCCAGCGGUUCGGCCGGGAACUCAAAGGAGACUGCCAGUGAUAAACUGGAGGAAGGUGGGGAUGACGUCAAGUCAUCAUGGCCCUUACGACCAGGGCUACACACGUGCUACAAUGGCAUAUACAAAGAGAAGCGACCUCGCGAGAGCAAGCGGACCUCAUAAAGUAUGUCGUAGUCCGGAUUGGAGUCUGCAACUCGACUCCAUGAAGUCGGAAUCGCUAGUAAUCGUAGAUCAGAAUGCUACGGUGAAUACGUUCCCGGGCCUUGUACACACCGCCCGUCACACCAUGGGAGUGGGUUGCAAAAGAAGUAGGUAGCUUAACCUUCGGGAGGGCGCUUACCACUUUGUGAUUCAUGACUGGG
rnacentral:rRNA from 1 species